AAUAGUUUAUUUACAAAUAAUAAAAUGAGAAUACAUUUUAAUAACCGUAUUUUCAUUAGAAAAUAAUCUACCUUUUUAGUAUCAUUCGGUUGGACCUUGAAUAUAAUAGUAUGAUGAUAACAUUUAAAUAUCAUAUGACUAAACAAAUACCAUAUUUCUGCUAGAAAUAUUUGCAGCAUCAGUAACAUCAUUCACAACUGUACAUCAAUAUAAAAAAUAUUUACAAAAUUACACAGCGUCAUUUAUACCUCAACUUCAAUAUGAAUGUUGUUCCGAAUAAAAUUAAGCGCCAUAAUAGUUCAAAAAAAUCCGUCAGCAUGAACAUAUCACCAGUAAUAUAUCAAUGGAGUCAACCUAUUAUCACAUGAACAUAAAUAUUAGACACGGAUUUUUUUUCUGCUAUCAAAAGCAUCAAAAUGGCACUUUGCAUGUAUGUGGUCAUCACCUCAAAAGGGACAUCGAAGAUCGAAACACAGUUUCUUCAAUCACGUCAUCUCCUCAUUGUUUGCCACUCAGAUGAUAUUUUUUCACCUAAUUACAUAAAUCAUUAAGGAUAUUAGCAUCUAAUCUUAAUAUACAAAACUUAGAUUAUUGCGACAUAAAAAAGUAGACCUACGGUUUCCUAACUAUAAAAAUUAUUAAUAACAUGAUCUACAAUACCGUCAAAUAUUUGUUGUCCAAAUUUUGGCUCUAACCCAACCUAAACGUUCAACAGAAGUACUAAUUACGACUUAAUGACAAAAAUAACAACAUCUUGCUUGUCAAAAAAAUUACUAGUAAUGGACAUAGCUAACAUUGAUCUACAACAUCUUCAACUUACUCGUGUGCAGAAGUUACUAUAAAUGCAACAUAUGUCAUCUGAAAACUUUUCUAACUUCUAAGCAGUAAACAUCGCAUAGAUAAUGACGAGCUAAAAAACUAACUAAUUUGCACCGUGCAUGCACAAGAAAAUCCAUGUAUUGCAAAGCUCAUACCUUCAACUUCGUAGUUCACUUUGCACGGCAAAUCUUACUCUAGAAACUCCAAAUGACUUCACAAAGUGAUGAAAUUAUGACUAAAGCAACAGAGAAUACAUAGUUAGAAACUAAUAAAACAAAACAAAAACAUCAUGCGUGCGAACGAAACCAACAAAGAUGGAUAGAUCUUACCUUGAUCUAUCUUUUCUUCAACUAAAACUUCUUCUGAAUCGGCUUUCAAAUCGCUCAAAAUCGUGAUCAAAGUAGCUAUUUGAGCUGUUUUUCUCAAUGUGCUAGGGUACUUAGAGCAGAGAGAGCAGAGAGGAGAGAGGAGAGGAGUGAGCGGGCUGCUGCGCAAAAUGAGGCACUUCCUGCCUCAUAUAAAGAAACAAACGCGUGUAUUCAGAGAGGUGUCGACAGAACGGGACAAAAACC
rnacentral:lncRNA from 1 species